GUGCUCACUUUGGUAGUACAUAUACUAAAAUUAGAACGAUACAAAGAAGAUGAGCCCCUGCGUAAGGAUGACAUGCAAAUUCAUGAAGUGUUCCAUAUUAAA